CUGUAACCUCCUUAGGAACAUGACCCACUUCCUGGCUAAUCCAAGCUAAUCCAUAGGUGGACACUACACAUGCUGAAGAGGUGGGCCCAGGCCUUGUUGGUUUAUGUCAAAAGUAGUCACUCAUCUCUGUUUUAUCAACCACUUAUCUUCCAGUGCUGCUGUGUAACAAUCCUU
rnacentral:lncRNA from 14 species